GUGCCAGCAGCCGCGGUAAUACGGAGGGUGCGAGCGUUAAUCGGAAUAACUGGGCGUAAAGGGCACGCAGGCGGUGACUUAAGUGAGGUGUGAAAGCCCCGGGCUUAACCUGGGAAUUGCAUUUCAUACUGGGUCGCUAGAGUACUUUAGGGAGGGGUAGAAUUCCACGUGUAGCGGUGAAAUGCGUAGAGAUGUGGAGGAAUACCGAAGGCGAAGGCAGCCCCUUGGGAAUGUACUGACGCUCAUGUGCGAAAGCGUGGGGAGCAAACAGGAUUAGAUACCCUGGUAGUCCACGCCCUAAACGAUGUCAAUUAGCUGUUGGGCAACUUGAUUGCUUAGUAGCGUAGCUAACGCGUGAAAUUGACCGCCUGGGGAGUACGGUCGCAAGAUUAAAACUCAAAGGAAUUGACGGGGACCCGCACAAGCGGUGGAUGAUGUGGAUUAAUUCGAUGCAACGCGAAGAACCUUACCUGGUCUUGACAU
rnacentral:rRNA from 1 species